rnacentral:lncRNA from 1 species
UUAUGAACAAUUUCUUGGUAUAUAUGAGUUUGUGGACUUUCAAUUUGAGAGGUGUGUGUAUUCCAGAAGGAGAAUAAUAAUCAAAGGUUUGUAUUUUCGUUUUGUGUCCUUUUUUUUUUCAUAAUAAUCAACGUAUGAUGUUCCUCUUUUAAUUUAAGCACUAACCAAUUCAUAUUUGGUGUAGCUUUCUGAGGCGUGCAAAUAGAGUGGUCGAUUGCUACCGCAACAUAUAAAGGGUAACAUUUAAGCUUGAAGUGGGCAAAUAUAUAUAUAUAUAUAUAUAAUUGUAAAGCAAACUUUGUUUUGCUGUGUCAUCUCUACAAAAACUCUUAUGCUUAUGUGUCAUCUCUACAAACUCAUAUUUUUUCAUAUGCAUUGUUAUUGUGUANNNNNNNNNNNNNNNNNNNNNNNNNNNNNNNNNNNNNNNNNNUUUACUAUUUUCCUAUCAAAAAAUCUUCUUAGCCUUUCAAUUCCCACAAAAAAUUAAAACGUGACAUUAAUUGACUAUAUAUAUAUGUGCCUUAUGAACAAUCUCUUGCUAGAUAUGGGUUUGUGGACUUUUCAAUUUGAGAGGUGUGUGUAUUGCAGAAGGAGAAUAAUAAUCAAAGAUUUGUAUUUUCAUUUUGUGUCCUUUUUUCAUAAUAAUCAGCGUAUGAUAUUACUCUUUUAAUUUAAGCACCUACCAAUUUGUGUUUGGUGUAGCUUUUUGAGGCGUGCAAAUGGAGUGGUUGAUUGCUACCGCAACAUAUAAAGGGUAACAUUUAAGCUUGAAGUGACAUAUGCAUGUUUGGAUACAAGUUAUGCCAUCGGGAACUUUAGUAAGCUGUCAUAAAAUUAAAAAAUAU